rnacentral:rRNA from 1 species
UCCUACCGUAGGCGACACUGCGACUCCUCCGGGAGGCAGCAGUGAGGAAUUUUCCGCAAUGGGCGAAAGCCUGAGGGAGCAAUACCGUGUGACGGAAGAAGGAUUUUGGUCUGUAAACCUCUUUUUUCAAGAAAGAAGAUCUGAC